AGUCACCUACUGUUUCAUGGUGCAUGCAUGAAGUCUGGUUUUAGUCAGUUGCCUUAAAAACAACUGUAAGCAGGAAGAUUAGAAGGAAACAGGGUGGGGUGACUCAUUAUCUUGGUUGCAAGAUGCUGUUUGUAUUUGCUUGGAAGUUUUCUACUGACACAGCUUGUCGCUUGAGGCCUAUCUAGCUCCUAGUUGGUCUCAAUUCCCCUGAGAAAUUCACACUCUUCAUUCUUGAGGGGUUUAUGAAUGGAGGUCUCUUCUUUUAAAGCUACUUUUUGCUGACAUGGGGCGCAGAGGCCUAAAGGUUAGAGGAUUGGAACUCUCAUGCUGCCUGAGCUAAACUGUCAUAUCUUCCUUGGGUCUCUAAAGGUCCUUCAUAAGCUGGCUGUGUCUCUUCUUGGAGGGGAAUGGGCUGGAAUCCCUGUGCAACCAUCAUCUGAAGGUGAAACUUUGUAAUCUGGAGGAUACGAACUUGACAAUCCGCCAGAGGUUUAUCUGGCAUUCCUAUUGAAGCCAGGAGUUUUCCCAGCUUUGGGAGAGAACUUCCCUCUGGAACCGCAAUACUCCGUCCAGAGCGUCUUCCGGAUUGUGUCGCUGAACCCACCCUAAUCUAUGAAUUAGUUCUCCCGGGACAUCUCUUUCCUUUGACCAAUCUAUAAAUUUCCAAGAAUCUGUA